CAGGUUGCCUCUUCAGAUGCCACCAACAUUGAGGCUUCCAUCAGAGAGGAGGACAGCUUCUAUGUCAUAAACGGUCACAAAUGGUGGAUCACAGGGCAGGGACGUCCCCCGGUGCCCACACAUGGACGGAUGCCUCCCUGCACAUGUGACCCCAGGAAUCUCUCCACUUCCUGCUGUUCAUUCUGCUUUGGGCAGCUCCCCUUCCUUGGUGGCUUCCUGGCUCCUCGAUCAGGCAUCCUGGAUCCUCGUUGCCAACUCUGUGUGUUUAUGGGAAAAACAGACCCACAUGCACCAAGACACCGGCAGCAGUCUGUGCUCUUGGUUCCCAUGGAUACCCCAGGGAUAAAAAUCAUCCGGCCUCUGACGGUGUAUGGACUGGAAGAUGCACCAGGUGGCCAUGGUGAAGUCCGAUUUGAGCACGU
rnacentral:lncRNA from 1 species